rnacentral:rRNA from 1 species
GACGAACGCUGGCGGCGUGCCUAAUACAUGCAAGUAGAACGCUGAAGGAGGAGCUUGCUUCUCUGGAUGAGUUGCGAACGGGUGAGUAACGCGUAGGUAACCUGCCUGGUAGCGGGGGAUAACUAUUGGAAACGAUAGCUAAUACCGCAUAAUAUUGACUAUUGCAUGAUAGUCAGUUGAAAGGUGCAACUGCACCACUACCAGAUGGACCUGCGUUGUAUUAGCUAGUUGGUGGGGUAACGGCUCACCAAGGCGACGAUACAUAGCCGACCUGAGAGGGCGACAGGACACAAGGGGACUGAGACACGGCCCAGACUGCUACGGGAGGCAGCAGGGGGGAAUAUGGCACAAUGGGAGGAAGCCUGAUGCAGCAACGCCGUGUGCGGGAUGACGGCCGUCGGGAUGUAAACCGCGUGCGCCUGGGACGAAGCGGGAGUGACGGUAAGGGGUAAAGAAGCAACGGCUAGUUACGUG